rnacentral:rRNA from 1 species
GCGGGAAUUCGAUUCCUACGGGAGGCAGCAGCAAGGAAUCUUCGGCAAUGGGCUCAAGCCUGACCGAGCAACGCCGCGUGGAGGACGACGGCCUUCGGGUUGUAAACUCCUUUUCUGAGGGAAGAUAUGGACGGUACCUCAGGAAUCAGCCCCGGCUAACUCUGUGCCAGCAGCCGCGGUAAGACAGAGGGGGCAAGCGUUGUCCGGACUUACUGGGCGUACAGCGCGCGCAGGUGGUUUGCUAAGUUCGCGGUGACAGCGUGCGGCUCAACCGCACACGGUCCGUGGAGACUGGUGAACUGGAGGCUAAGAGAGGGAUGUGGAAUACCCGGUGGAGCGGUGAAAUGCGUAGAGAUCGGGUGGAACACCAGAGGCGAAGGCGGCAUCCUGGCUUAGUCCUGACACUGAGGCGCGACAGCGUGGGGAGCAAACGGGAUUAGAUACCCCGGUAGUCCACGCCGUAAACGAUGUGGAGCCGAUGCUGGACAGUGAUUGCGCUGUUCGGUGUCCCAGCUUACGCGAUGACUCCACCGCCUGGGAACUACGGCCGCAAGGCUAAAACUCAAAGGAAUUGACGGAA